rnacentral:lncRNA from 1 species
UUGAUUGUCACAAAGGAAAAAAUAUUGCUGAUCACUUCUCCAUUUUUGAACAUGGUAAGUGAGUGAAAGUAUGUUUUUUUGUAACUUGACUGUACUCCCUUUUAAUAUACUAAUUAGAAUUAUUUGUAUGUUAGGUUCGACCUCUGGUGCACCCUGUGACCGACAUCAUGUAGAGACAUCUACUGUCAUAAACAAAGGUUUGUCUCAAUUUAAUUUAGGUUUAUCUCAAUUUAAUCUUAUAACACCACCUGCUGCCUCUCUCUUCUCAACACUAAUAGGAUAUAUUGUUGCAACUAAUAUACACAGGUUCUAAAUCAAAAAUAAUAAGUUGGAACUGGAACAUUAGAGAACUACCCACUGAUGCAACCAUUUUAAAAACUGUACCAGAUUGUAAAUAUUGUGGAGCAAAAAGAUUUGAAUAUGAGCUACCGGCAUUUUGUUGUAGCAAUGGUUCAAUUAAGUUGACGUCACAUGAAAUGCCUAAUGAACUCUUGAAUUUAUAUUUAGGCAAUACCGAAGAAUCUGAACACUUCCGUACCUACCUUAGAUUAUACAACAAUAUGUUUGCAUUUACUUUCCUUGGGGUGCACUAUGACAAAGUACUAGCAAAAAGAAACCAAGGAAUUUAUACAUUUAGAGUACAAGGUCAAAUGUAUCACUUUAUAAAUGAUUUAAUUCCAACAAAUCGGCGACCAAGAAAUUUACAGUUGUAUUUUUACGAUGAGAAUGCAGAAAUAUUAAAACGAAUGGCUUCGUCGGAUAUACUUCGACAAUCAAUUGUUCAGAAGCUAAUGAACAUACUAAAGAUAAAUCCUUAUUGUAUCUUCUUGAAAUCUCUAAUACAUAUUCCAGAAUUAUCAAACUUUUAUAUUGCAUUGAGAUGUGGCUCUGGCUUAGAUCAACGAGUAUAUAAUCUGCCAACUGUGUCAGAAGUAGCAGCAUUAUGGCUAGAACAAGAAAUGAGCAAUAAUAGUUUUACACCCCAUAUUUGAAUUUAUACUCACAGUAACAAAAGCCAAUUAGUAAAUUACUAUUAUUGUUGCUAUGAUCCUUUGCAAUAUCCACUUUUAUUUCCUUAUGGUCAAAACGGCUGGCAUUGCGGUAUUCCAAAAAUCGUACAACCUAGAAUUAAAUUGAGAAAGCGAGCUUACUAUGAGACUGAGCAGCUUCCGAGUGUCUCUAACAUGUGUUCAAUUGAUGGACUACUUGAUAUGGAAGCGGAUGUCCUGCAAAAGGGGAAACAAAAAAGAAAUAAUGUUUCUUGUCGUGAAUACUACUAUUACAAACUCCAUAUGAGAGACAAUGAGGAAAACGGAGUUUUACAUUCUGGUAGAUUAUUUCAACAAUAUUCAGUUGAUGAAUUCAUAAAAGUAGAAAGUCAAAGAUUAGAUUUUGCCUCAUUUAACCAAGAUUUAUUUCGAAUUGAUGUACUACAAGGACUUUUAGAUAUCUUGAGACUUGGCGAAAGAGAAGCUUCUAAGAUAGGAAAACAAAACUUUCUUCCAACAAGUUUUACGGGUGGUCCGAGAGAUAUGCGUCAACGUUAUAUGGAUGCUAUUGCGUUAGUACAGCAUUUUGGAAAGCCUGAUAUAUUUCUGACCAUAACAUGUAAUCCCUCUUGGCUUGAAAUAAAGGAACAUUUGCUCCCAACAGACGAAACUCAAAAUAGGCCUAAUUUAAUUAGUCGAGUAUUCAGAGCAAAGGUAGAAGAGAUGAAAACAGAUAUAUUAAAAAGAAGCAUAUUUGGAAAAGUUGUCGCCUUUAUGUACAGUUUAGAAUUUCAAAAACCCGGUCUUCCACAUGCCCAUUUUCUUGUUAUACUUACUGAUGAAUACAAAUUAUUAACGCCCGAGGCUUAUGACAAAUUUGUUUGUGCUAAGUUGCCUGACCCUGAUAUAUACUCAUACUUACAUAAGCUUGUCGUUAAACACAUGAUGCAUGGGCCUUGUGGUCAUUUAAAUCCCACAAAUUUAUGUAUGAAAAGAAAUGAGUGCAAAUUUAAGUACCCCAAGAGUUUCGUUGAUGAGACGACGAAAGAAAAGAACUCAUACCCAAUUUAUAGAAGACGAAAUACUGGUAAAUCUGUGAAAGUUAGAAAACAAUUUCUUGAUAACUCAUGGGUUGUUCCUUACAACCCCUAUCUGCUAUGUAAAUACAAUUGCCAUAUAAAUGUAGAAGUUUGCUCCGAUAUUAAAGUUGUGAAAUAUAUAUACAAAUAUAUCUUUAAAGGACAUGAUAAGAUAUCAUUUGGCUUACAUGAAGAUAACACAAAUAUACAAAUAGAUGAGAUAAAAGAGUAUCAAUCUGCUAGAUGGGUGUCACCUCCAGAAGCUAUGUGGCGCUUAUUUGCAUUUCCUAUUAGUGAAAUGACUCCGAGUGUUUACCACCUCCCAUUACAUCUUGAUGGACUACAAUUUGUCUCUUUUAAAAAAAGACACAAUAGAUAGUAUCGUGAAAAAUCCUAUGAUCAAGAAGACGAUGCUGACAGAAUUCUUUUUGAUGAAUGAAACAAAUAAAGAUGCUAAAGAGCUUAAAUUAAUGUAUAAAGAUUUUUCACAACACUUCGUAUGGUUAUCUAGCUAUAAAAUGUGGACUCGACGACAACAAGGUCACGUUAUUGGCCGGGUUGUAACAUGUCAUCCAACAGAGGGAGAAAGAUAUUACCUUAGAUUAUUACUAAUGAAUGUGAGAGCACCAAAAUCAUACAAAGAUCUUCUAACGGUAAAUGAAAUAUGCUGCGACACAUAUAGAGAAUCUGCAGAAAAAAAAAGGGUUGUUACAUUGUGAUAACAGCUUGAUUGAAUGUAUGUUAGAGGCUGCAUGUUAUCAAAUGCCUUAUAGUUUAAUACGUUUAUUUGCUACAAUAUUAGUAUACUGUAGCCCUAACAAUCCAGGAGAACUACGGGAACAGUUUGAAGAUUCAAUGUCCGAAGAUUUUAAAAUUCUAGCCAAUAUAACAGCAAAAGAUAUCCACCUCGCUGUUCUGAAUCACAUCAAUGAUAUACUACAUUCUAUGGGUCGUGAUAUUAAUGAAUUCAAUCUUGUUUCAGAAAAUAUUACAUCUUCGAAAAUGGCAAAUGAAGCGAAGGAAGCAUAUUUCGAAAGAAACAUCAUUGUGGGUAACGAAGAUUUGUUGUUACAUAGAAAAUUAAAUAUAGAACAGAAAAUAGCAUACGACAUAAUCUUGCAAAGAGUAUUUGUCAAUGAAUCAGGAGCAUUUUUCAUUGAUGGUCCUGGAGGAAGUGGUAAGACGUUUUUAUACUGUGCCUUAUUAGCAACUGUGAGAUCUAAAGGAUUUGUAGCAUUAGCAACAACAACUUCUGGAGUUGCAGCUUCGAUCCUUCCAGGAGGACGAACAGUUCAUUCACGUUUUAAAUUUUCGAUUAAUAUCGAUGAAAAAUUUUCUUGCAAUAUUAGAAAGAAAAGCUCAUUGGCAUCUUUGAUUCAUGAUGCAAAAUUGAUUGUGUGGGAUGAAGUAUCAAUGGCAAAAAAGAACAUGAUUGAAGCUUUAGAUUCUCUCUUGAAAGAUAUAAUGAACACAAAUGUGCUUUUCAGCGGAAAAGUUGUUGUGUUUGGAGGGGAUUUUAGACAAACUCUUCCUGUGGUUCGAAGUGGAAAAAAGGAAGAUUUCAUUCGAGAAAGCAUAUUGAACUUCGAAAUAUGGAACAAACUUGAAAAAUUGCAGUUAUCAGAGAAUAUGCGUGCCAAAAUUGAUCCCUCUUUUUGUGAAUAUUUGAUGCGAAUUGGAAAUGGAAAAGAAAAAACAAACAUGGAUAAUAAAAUAGAAAUUCCAAAGUCUUUCAUUGUUCCUUAUAUUACUGAAAAAGAAUCUUUGGAUCUUUUAUUCAACAUAAUAUAUCCUAAUUUGCACAUGUCUCUUCACAAUUCUUCUUUUUUAACUUCGCGCGUUAUUUUGAUAACAAAAAAUGACUUUGUUGAUGAAAUAAAUGAUAGACUUAUAGCUCAAUUCCCUAAAGAAGCUAAAACAUUUAUUGCAAUAGAUGAAACUGUUGAACCAAAUGAUCAGAGCCAGUUUGAGGGUUUUUUACAUUCAUUGAACCCUGCUGGUUUGCCUCCUUACAAAUUAAUCUUGAAGGAAAAUUGUCCUGUUAUGUUGCUGCGAAAUUUAAAUCCUUGUGAGGGUUUAUGCAAUGGUACACGACUGAUAUGCUGUGAUUUUAAGAGCCGUGUUAUAAGUGCUAAAAUUUCGAGUGGUGAUUUUAAAGAUACGCAUGUAUUUAUUCCCAGAAUAUCAUUGUUAUCUUCAGAUGAUGAGAAGCUACCAAUCCCAUUUAAAAGAACUCAAUUUCCAGUACGCUUGUGUUUUGCAAUGACGAUAAAUAAAGCGCAAGGGCAAACACUAAAUUAUGUUGGUAUUUAUUUGCGUGAGCCAGUAUUUUCUCAUGGCCAGCUAUAUGUUGCUUUAUCCAGAGCAAAGAGUUCAAGUUGUAUUAAAAUAUUAAUCCGACCACCAACCGUAGAUAACGAUGAUGACCAUUCUACAUAUAACAUAGUGUAUGACGAAAUCAUUCAAAAAGCACUUCUAUAAGUCUGUAGCUUUCUUCUUUAUAUUCCUGGUUUAACCUUAUAUUCUUUAUUUCAAUAAUUUUCUUGAGACUUGAGAUAGUUUCUCUGCAAUUUACUAUGUGCUAAAUAAGAGUUGGCUUGUGUAUCUACAAAUCCUUCCUAAACUUUUACUCAUCUUUACAAAUCUAUAAAUACAAAAGCAACUUGCAUAUUUAUGUGAUUUUUUUCCAACUCUGUGAAGCUUACCUGACUGACAUUUACAUCCAAAAAAAUAUAUAUAUAUUUUUAACUCCGCUUGUGUUCAAAUUAUAUUGUAACACAGCCUGUCCCAAGCCCGGAUAAAGGAGGACGGUCUAUUGUAUAUUGGUAAUAACAAUUGUAUCUUAUUUCUUCAUUUGAAUGUACUUACUGAUUUCCUCUUAUAAAUUUUUAUACAUCACUAUCAAUAUGUUGGCGGAAAAAAAUCCAUUGUUCGUUUAAGAAACAAAAUGAGAAAUAAAUUAAAAAUUUAUUCAUCUUCUAUUUUGAUGUCUUUAUAUUCCUUUACUGCUUACUAACACGUAUAAUCUGUAUUGCAGGUAUUUUAAAAAGAUCUUCUAAAGUAAAAUGUUUUCACAAGUUGGUACUAAAAGGUACUGUCACACUAACCAAAUUUUGAUAUAGUAAUUUCAUUUUCUACCUUAGAGAUUGUUUCAUUAUUUGAUUUUAUAUGGAUAUCUUUGCAUAUUUCAAUGAUGUGAUUAGUUUUACUACUGGAAGUUAUCCAAUUAAUCUUUUUUAAUGUCUUUAUUAUAUUCAUUCAACUAUUAUGAAUACAUACAAAUAAUUGACAUCAUAUAUAUUUCACAGAAACUAAAUGACCCAGUGUUAUUUGUUGCGUCAUAAUACACGAGUUAAUGCACAACUGUCGAAUUGGUCUGGCAGCAAAGGAUAAGCUUUUGAAAAUAUUUACAUAGCUGCUGCAGGGG